rnacentral:rRNA from 1 species
CAUGCAGUCGACGAUGACGGAGGAGCUUGCUCCUCCUGAUUAGUGGCGAACGGGUGAGUAAUACGUGAGCAAUGUGCCCUUGACUCUGGGAUAAGCGCUGGAAACGGCGUCUAAUACCGGAUACGACGAUCGGAGGCAUCUCCUGGUCGUGGAAAGAACUUCGGUCAAGGAUCAGCUCACGGCCUAUCAGUUAGUUGGUGAGGUAAUGGCUCACCAAGACGACGACGGGUAGCCGGCCUGAGAGGGUGACCGGCCACACUGGGACUGAGACACGGCCCAGACUCCUACGGGAGGCAGCAGUGGGGAAUAUUGCACAAUGGGCGCAAGCCUGAUGCAGCAACGCCGCGUGAGGGACGAAGGCCUUCGGGUUGUAAACCUCUUUUAGCAGGGAAGAAGCGAAAGUGACGGUACCUGCAGAAAAAGCACCGGCUAACUACGUGCCAGCAGCCGCGGUAAUACGUAGGGUGCAAGCGUUGUCCGGAAUUAUUGGGCGUAAAGAGCUCGUAGGCGGUUUGUCACGUCUGCUGUGAAAACCCGAGGCUCAACCUCGGGCUUGCAGUGGGUACGGGCAGACUAGAGUGCGGUAGGGGAGAUUGGAAUUCCUGGUGUAGCGGUGGAAUGCGCAGAUAUCAGGAGGAACACCGAUGGCGAAGGCAGAUCUCUGGGCCGUAACUGACGCUGAGGAGCGA